rnacentral:rRNA from 1 species
UACGUAGGGUGCGAGCGUUAAUCGGAAUUACUGGGCGUAAAGCGCGCGCAGGCGGCUUUUUAAGUCCGACGGUCCAAUGCCGGGGCUCAACCCCGUUGCGUGCCGCGGAUACUGGGAAGCUGGAGACGAGUAGAGGCAAGCGGAAUUCCGGGUGUAGCGGUGGAAUGCGUAGAGAUCCGGAAGAACACCGGAGGCGAAGGCGGCUUGCUGGGCUCGGUCUGACGCUGAGGCGCGAAAGCGUGGGGAGCGAACAGG